GGAAGUAAAAGUCGUAACAAGGUUUCCGUAGGUGAACCUGCGGAAGGAUCAUUACCGAGUGAGGGCCCUCUGGGUCCAACCUCCCACCCGUGUUUAUUUUACCUUGUUGCUUCGGCGGGCCCGCCUUAACUGGCCGCCGGGGGGCUCACGCCCCCGGGCCCGCGCCCGCCGAAGACACCCUCGAACUCUGUCUGAAGAUUGUAGUCUGAGUGAAAAUAUAAAUUAUUUAAAACUUUCAACAACGGAUCUCUUGGUUCCGGCAUCGAUGAAGAACGCAGCGAAAUGCGAUACGUAAUGUGAAUUGCAAAUUCAGUGAAUCAUCGAGUCUUUGAACGCACAUUGCGCCCCCUGGUAUUCCGGGGGGCAUGCCUGUCCGAGCGUCAUUGCUGCCCUCAAGCACGGCUUGUGUGUUGGGCCCCGUCCUCCGAUCCCGGGGGACGGGCCCGAAAGGCAGCGGCGGCACCGCGUCCGGUCCUCGAGCGUAUGGGGCUUUGUCACCCGCUCUGUAGGCCCGGCCGGCGCUUGCCGAUCAACCCAAAUUUUUAUCCAGGUUGACCUCGGAUCAGGUAGGGAUACCCGCUGAACUUAAGCAUAUCAAUAAGCGGAGGAA
rnacentral:rRNA from 1 species